AUGCACACGGCGAGGAUGAGACUCGUCGCGUCCCUGGCCGCAGCAGCCCUGUCGGUGUGGUUGCUCCUCGCAGGCAGAAGCAGCAGCUCCUCCUCGGACAGUGUCACGUUGAACGGAGCUGCGGAGACCGAGUCGCGCUCGCUGAAAUCGCCCAGGUCGUCGGGGAGAAGAGUGGGGAACUCCAUUAUCCCCAAAUUACAGCCCAUUACUGCGAACAUCAGAAACCAUUAGGGAGCAUGCAGCUGCAUGUGAUCAUGUUUGUCUGCUGAAAUUGGCGCCUGCGUGCACAUGUCUGCAGCAUGUUUGCGAGCAAUUCUCAGGGGAGGACAGGAGGUUACAAACUCAUCAUAACACUGCAGGAAAACAUUUCCGACAAAGUCAGCAAGCCAGUACAACUUCAGGAAUCCAAUCACAUAGUGCUGAG